rnacentral:rRNA from 1 species
UGUACACGCUGUGACUAGCAUAUCAAUAAGCGGAGGAAAAGAAACUAACAAGGAUUCCCCUAGUAACGGCGAGUGAAGCGGGAAGAGCUCAAAUUUGAAAUCUUAAAGGGUUUCCCUUUACGAAUUGUAGUUUAAAGAAGUGUUUUCUGUUGAGGUUUUGGUAAAAGUUCUUUGGAAUAGGACAUCAUAGAGGGUGAGAAUCCCGUAUUUGACCUUUACUUUCAACUUUGUGAUACACUUUCAAAGAGUCGGAUUGUUUGGGAAUGCAGUCCAAAAUGGGUGGUAAAUUUCAUCUAAAGCUAAAUAUUGGCGAGAGACCGAUAGCGAACAAGUACCGUGAGGGAAAGAUGAAAAGAACUUUGAAAAGAGAGUUAAACAGUACGUGAAAUUGUCAAAAGGGAAGCGUUUGACACCAGUGUUGUUUUUCUGAAAAUCAAUUAAAGAACUGUUUAUGCUAAGCUGUUUAGACUUUAUCAGCUAUCUGUUUAGUUUUGAGCUUUUCUUUAAUGCAGCUUUUCAGUUAACAAGUCAACAUCAAUUUCUUUUGCUGUAAAAAAGCUUGAGGAAGGUGGCUUGAGAUCCGUCUUAAGUGUUUAUAGCCUCUUGCCUAUGCAGUCGGAGAGAUUGAGGUCUGCAGCGUAGAUCCUUCGGGGCUAAAUGCAUUUGUGCUAAGUUAUAGCAUUUUAUAGACAACUUGUUGACUAUGAUUUGUCUUGUAGCUUACUCGCUUAUGUUAUUUUACCUACGCUUAGGAUGUUGAGUCGUAGAGCACGCAG